rnacentral:lncRNA from 1 species
UGCAACAGGACCUGUAAUGUACACUAAUGAAAAGAGAAGAAACUAAAAUCCCUUAGCAGGUUAUCUGAGGCUCUCCACCGUCUGAUGGAAGACGUCUUCUAGAUUUCUCUUGAACCCUUGGUUUGUCAUUUGCUCACAAGUUCUGGCCUCGAAGGGUUACUCAUUGAUUCCUGCAUAUGCCCUGCCUUUUCUCAUUGACCCACUCUUCCAGGAGCUCGUUCCAGAAUUCCCGAAUUACACAUCACUGCUUCCUAUUAGAAUCCAACUGCUCAAAAUACAUAGAUGAUAAAUAUGUUACAGCAAAAAAACAGAUUCAAAACUAUAUACAGAGUAUGAUCUCAACUAGUUCAAGAAAAAAAUUCAAAGAAACAAUAGUCCCUCAGCAGGCACCAGAGUCGUCAAUUCCGGGUGCAGUGGCUGUCAUGCUGAGCCCACGGCUCGUAGGAGAGCUUCAUCCCCUCUCUGCCGGCCCAGGAUGCAGAUGGACCACCUUCUGGCACACAGAUUAUGUGUUCCCAGGAAACCCAAGCAAAACCCCUGACCGCUCCGGGGAUGGCAGAGACGGUCUGGACUCCCACGUGUGUGGCACUGACAAAGGGCUCACCCCGUUCCACCUACCUCAUGUGGCACAGAUCACAUGGCUCAGUCGUCACCUCCACAUGGGACAGGGAAGCCCCAGCCCAGCCAGAACACACGGCUCCACGAGAGGGGAAAGGGCAGCCUGGAUUCUGCUACAGCGGACAGAGCACCUGUGAUGCGGGGAGCGUCUUGGGCACCUCUUCAUUCCUGCUUGUGGAUUUUAAAUAGCUGCCCUUUUCAGUUAUUAUCAGACCUUCUCCCAGCCUUUGCAGCUGGAUGAAUCUCUUCCUUCCUCGCUUUCUUUCUCCCUCCCUCCCUCCUUCUUCCUUUCCUUCCUUUCUUCUUUUCAGUAUCAAGCAAUGAACCCAAAGGUGCUCUACCACUGAGCAACAUCUCCAGCCCUUCGUAAUUUUUGUUUGGACACAGAUUCUUGCUAAGUUCCCCAGGCUGGCCUUGCCCUCGCAAUCCUCCUGUCUCAGCCUCCUGGUGCUGGGAUUAGAGUGGUGUACCAGCCACCAGGCCAGGCAUAGAGACACGAUUCUGGGAUGACUCCUAUGCAGACUUGUCACAAGCUGCAGGUGAGUGACUUCAUCUUACGGAGCCUCAGAAUGGUCUCCAGCUCUGAGUUCCAGCUGCAGCCGGGGCGUAGGGCAGGAAGGCACUGCAGGCCAGCUUGGGCCAGCUGGCCGGUGAGACCCCACUGUGCAUAGAGGGAAGACGUUCCCCACCCAGGAAGAGCCCACGGGUAAAGGAAGCUGGAUGCAGCCGUGGGCCCUUGCCUGUGAUUUGAGGGAGUUGUGUAGACAUCCACCACCCCCAUCCGGGUGGCUGCCAGCUCCACCUAUAUCACCGUGAUUCGCUCCUGGCACUGGAUGGGCAAGGUUACCAGGCAGGUGGCUGCACACACAUAACCGGCUCACACAGUGGCCUCAUGAGACCUGCUAGCUCUUUCUCAGAUCUUUAUUUUAUUUUAUCUUGGUAUUGGGGAUCAAAAUCAGGCCCUUGAGCUUGUGAGGCAGGCAGUGGCACCACUGAGCUAAAUCCCCGGCCCUCUCAGAUCUUUAAAAGAAUGGGAUGGGAUGGGUUGGGAUGUGCAGCCAGGUGUGGUGGUGCAGGCUUGUAAUCUCAACUCUCUAGGAGGCUGAGGCAGGAGAAUCACAAGUUCAAACUCAACCCGGGCCAUUUAUCCACUGAGUGAGAACUUGUCUCAAAAAAAAAAAAAAAAAAAAAAAACACAAGGGGUGAA